AUUUUAUAUUAAAUAAUUAAUAGUUAUGGUCUUUAAAAUUAAAGAAUUUGGCGGUAUUUUAGUCUAUUCAGAGGAAUCUGUUCUGUGAUUGAUAACCCACGAGUUUAUUUACUUAUAAUAAUUAGUUUAUAUAUCGUCGUAAAAGAAUAUUUUUUUAGAAUUUAAUAUUCAAAAUUUUUUUAAAAAAGAAAAUCAGAUCAAGGUGUAGCUUAUUUAUAAGAAGAAAUGGAUUACAAUAAAUUUAUAUUUUUGGAUUAAAUUAUUAAAUUAAUUURUGAAAAUGGAUUUGAUAGUAAUUUUAAUUAAAUUAUUAAAAUGAUUUUAGCUCUAAAAUAUGU
rnacentral:rRNA from 1 species